AUUUUACGCGGCCUAUAUAUCUACCGUAUUAAAAAUAAUCAAUUGCUCCAUAAAGCAACUGCAUGCACAAUUGCAUUUAUUAUGCAUGCGAUGUUAAUUUAGAUUUCAUCACAUUAAAUUCAUUUCCAUACCAAACUAUGCACAUGGACUUGAACUUUUUUAUUAUAUUGUCUCAAAGAAAACGCUAUAUAUAUGUCCUCUCCUGACCAGAUGAAGAAACAA
rnacentral:lncRNA from 1 species